rnacentral:rRNA from 1 species
GAUGAACGCUGGCGGCGUGCCUAAUACAUGCGAGUCGAGCGAACAGACGAGGAGCUUGCUCCUCUGACGUUAGCGGCGGACGGGUGAGUAACACGUGGAUAACCUACCUAUAAGACUGGGAUAACUUCGGGAAACCGGAGCUAAUACCGGAUAAUAUAUUGAACCGCAUGGUUCAAUAGUGAAAGACGGUUUUGCUGUCACUUAUAGAUGGAUCCGCGCCGCAUUAGCUAGUUGGUAAGGUAACGGCUUACCAAGGCGACGAUGCGUAGCCGACCUGGGAGGGUGAUCGGCCACACUGGAACUGAGACACGGUCCAGACUCCUACGGGAGGCAGCAGUAGGGAAUCUUCCGCAAUGGGCGAAAGCCUGACGGAGCAACGCCGCGUGAGUGAUGAAGGUCUUCGGAUCGUAAAACUCUGUUAUUAGGGAAGAACAAAUGUGUAAGUAACUAUGCACGUCUUGACGGUACCUAAUCAGAAAGCCACGGCUAACUACGUG